GAGGGUAUAGCUCAGUGGUACAGCCCACGCCUAGCAUGCAUGAGGUCCCGGGUUCAAUCCCUAGUACCUCCA
rnacentral:tRNA from 1 species